CCUACGGGAGGCAGCAGUGAGGAAUAUUGGUCAAUGGCCGAGAGGCUGAACCAGCCAAGUCGCGUGAGGGAAGACGGCCCUACGGAUUGUAAACCUCUUUAGGCGGGGAGCAAUGCCGGGCACGUGUGCCCGGAGGGAGAGUACCCGCAGAAUAAGCAUCGGCUAACUCCGUGCCAGCAGCCGCGGUAAUACGGAGGAUGCGAGCGUUAGCCGGAUUUAUUGGGUUUAAAGGGUGCGUAGGCGGACUGUUAAGUCAGCGGUAAAAGCCCGGGGCUCACCCCCGGCGAGCCGUUGAAACUGGCUGUCUUGAGAUGUCGAGAGGUAUGCGGAAUGCGCAGUGUAGCGGUGAAAUGCUUAGAUAUUGCGCAGAACUCCGAUUGCGAAGGCAGCAUACCGGCGGCGAUCUGACGCUGAGGCACGAAAGCGUGGGUAUCGAACAGGAUUAGAUACCCCAGUAGUC
rnacentral:rRNA from 1 species